CAAUAAGCUUACGUUAAUAUUUUUAUUCAUGUUUCAAAAUCACUCAUAUAUUUUUAAAAACAACCUCAUAUACUAUUUCCAAUAUAAGUUUAUGAUAUUAUACAACCAAUUCAAACUAUCAAUUGUUCUCUAUUUACAUCAAAUUCACCUUAAGAAUUAGCAACAAUGGGAGUAAAUUCACAAUGAUCUUUUACUAUUGAUCCCGACUUAUAAAGUUGGUAGAAUUAUAAUCUUUUAGCAUAAUCUUUUGGACCAAUGGGAGAAAUAACAAAUGACAUACUAAAAUUGAUAGAAAGAUAUUUUUUUUCCAUCUAUUUAUGCUCUCUU
rnacentral:lncRNA from 1 species